UGGGGAAUCUUGCGCAAUGGGCGAAAGCCUGACGCAGCGACGCCGCGUGGGUGAUGAAGGCCUUCGGGUUGUAAAGCCCUGUGGAGAGGGACGAAUAAGUUCGACCUAAUACGUCGGGCGAUGACGGUACCUCUUUAGCAAGCACCGGCUAACUCUGUGCCAGCAGCCGCGGUAAGACAGAGGGUGCAAACGUUGUUCGGAAUUACUGGGCGUAAAGCGCGUGUAGGCGGUCGUGCAAGUCGGGUGUGAAAGCCCAGGGCUCAACCCUGGAAGUGCAUUCGAUACUGCAUGGCUAGAGUCCCGGAGAGGAUGGUGGAACUCUCGGUGUAGAGGUGAAAUUCGUAGAUAUCGAGAAGAACACCUGUGCCGAAGGCGGCCAUCUGGACGGCGACUGACGCUGAGACGCGAAAGCGUGGGGA
rnacentral:rRNA from 1 species